UAUAGAAGUCACUGUGGAGGAAAACUGAGUGCUGAUCUUUCCAUUUGAUUCCAUGGCACUCCUGAAGAUAUGAAGGUAAAAAAGUUGUCGUUCUUCACUUGCAGCCAACUCCUAAAAGAAUUAAUUCAAAGGGUGACAAGAGACGAGGAUCGAUCUCUUCAUUUCUAAGGCCAUUGAGUAUAGCAUUAACAUCGGCAGAAAUCUUUGCAACAAGCUGCACUAGGAAUCAGGAAAAAUUGAGUGAUGAAAGGGUGUAAAU